rnacentral:lncRNA from 1 species
GGCUUACAUAACUAGCUUUACAAUGCUUCAUUGCUCUCAUGUCAUUUGUCUUCAAGGAUCGUCACUUUGUUGAGAGAGGCAUGACAGAAAACUUCUCCUGGCAUCCUUGCUGGCCCUAGUCUCUCCUGCUGACUUGUACAGAUUCAGUAGAGGCCUGGCUGUUUCCACUGGGUGGUGUUCACUAUCCUGAUACUACUUAACUGGAUUGCUGGUAUAUAUCCUGACAACACAGGAAGCCACGUGAUCCUGAAGCUGUGCAGGAAGAGCCACUAGAAACCUGUGUCCUAGAAAUCAAGAUCUUGAACUUGGCUCCUCUAGUCCCUGACUUUUAUACGGGAAGUUGGUGAGCCUGCAACUGUGUCUGUGUGAUUGUGGAAAUGUGUGUGUGUGUGUGUGUGUGUGUGUGUGUGUGUGUAUUUGAGUGCAUGUGUGUGCCUGAGUGCCCUGGUAUGAUGGAGCUGGAGAGAGAGAGAGGGGCGUCUGUGAGAGUGGAGAGCUGGAGCCCAGGCACAAGCAUGAGUCUCUGAAAGAUUAGAUGCAGUGGGCAUGGACCAGAGUUAAAGGGUACUGGAUGGUGUGGUGUGAAUCUUCCUGUGUCUGAUGCUCACAGGUGGUCAUUGACAUAUGCACCUGUGCAUGAUGGGAGGGGCAUGGAGGGUGGCAGGAGGAAGGGCCUGGGGUGACUGUUCACAGAGGGGCUCAGGGUUUGUGAAUCAGAGGCUAAGUGGAAAGGCCCUGCAAUCCAGGAUCUGGAAGAGCUUAUGUAAUUUUGUCACUCACUGUGUUUUUCUGUGUAUGAGUACUUGGAUUAAGGAAGCUUCCUAAGUAUCCAUCAGCAGAAGAAUGAAUAAAGAAAGUGCAGUUUGAGGCUGGAGAGAUGGCUCAGUGGUGAAAAGGACUGACUACUCUUCCAGGGGUCCUGAGUUCAAUUCCCAGCAACCACAUGGUGGCUCACGACCAUCUGUAAUGGGAUCCAAUGCCUUCUUCUGGUGUGUCUGAAGACAGCGACAGUGUACUCAUGUGCCUGAAAUGAAUAAAUAAAUAAAUCU